AACGAACGCUGGCGGCAGGCUUAACACAUGCAAGUCGAGCGAGACCUUCGGGUCUAGCGGCGGACGGGUGAGUAACGCGUGGGAACGUGCCCUUCUCUACGGAAUAGCCCCGGGAAACUGGGAGUAAUACCGUAUACGCCCUUUGGGGGAAAGAUUUAUCGGAGAAGGAUCGGCCCGCGUUGGAUUAGGUAGUUGGUAGGGUAAUGGCCCACCAAGCCGACGAUCCAUAGCUGGUUUGAGAGGAUGAUCAGCCACACUGGGACUGAGACACGGCCCAGACUCCUACGGGAGGCAGCAGUGGGGAAUCUUAGACAAUGGGGGAAACCCUGAUCUAGCCAUGCCGCGUGAGUGAUGAAGGCCUUAGGGUUGUAAAGCUCUUUCAGCUGGGAAGAUAAUGACGGUACCAGCAGAAGAAGCCCCGGCUAACUCCGUG
rnacentral:rRNA from 1 species